UUUCAAUGAUGAGAACCUUUACCAGUUCUGCUGCUGAAUGUUGGUGAUGCUAUUUCAGGUCUGAGAAGG